GACGUAGGGCGCGAGCGUUGUCCGGAUUUACUGGGCGUAAAGAGCGCGCAGGCGGCUGGUCAAGUCCGAUGUGAAAGCUCCCGGCUUAACUGGGAAAUUGCAUCGGAAACUGAUCGGCUGGAAGGUGGGAGAGGGUAGCGGAAUUCCCGGUGUAGUGGUGAAAUGCGUAGAUAUCGGGAGGAACACCCAGGGGGAAACCAGUCGACUGGGCAUCUACUGACGCUGAGGUGCGAGAGCGUGGGGAGCGAACAGG
rnacentral:rRNA from 1 species